GAAGGGUUGCAUCUCAGUGGUAGGGCAUCUCCUUUGCAAGCAGAAGGUUCCAGGUUCAAUCCCUGGCAUCUUCA
rnacentral:tRNA from 1 species